GAUGAACGCUAGCUACAGGCUUAACACAUGCAAGUCGAGGGACCGGCGCACGGGUGAGUAACGCGUAUCCAACCUAUCCAUUACUGUGGGAUAACCUGCCGAAAGGCAGACCAAUACCGCAUAGUAAUGGAUGGGGGUGCUUCCGAUUAGCUUGUUGGCGGGGUAACGGCCCACCAAGGCAACGAUCAGUAGGGGUUGUGAGGGGAAGGUCCCCCACAUUGGAACUGAGGCACAGUCCAAACUGCUACGGGAGGCAGGAGUGAGGGGUAGUGGUCGAUGAAGGCAAGUCUGAACCAGCCAAGUAGCGGGCAGGGUGACGGGCUAUGGGUUGUAUACUGCUGUUAUAUGGGGAGAGGUACCAGAUGAAUAAGGACCGGCUAAUUCCGUGCCAGCAGCCGCGGUAAUUC
rnacentral:rRNA from 1 species